UACGUAGGGUGCGAGCGUUGUCCGGAAUUAUUGGGCGUAAAGAGCUCGUAGGCGGUUUGUCGCGUCUGCUGUGAAAUCCCGAGGCUCAACCUCGGCCUGCAGUGGGUACGGGCAGACUGGAGUACUGCAGGGGAGACUGGAAUUCCUGGUGUAGCGGUGGAAUGCGCAGAUAUCAGGGAGGAACACCGGUGGCGAAGGCGGGUCUCUGGGCAGUAACUGACGCUGAGGAGCGAAAGCGUGGGGAGCGAACA
rnacentral:rRNA from 1 species